rnacentral:rRNA from 1 species
AAGUAUAAGCAACUAUACUGUGAAACUGCGAAUGGCUCAUUAAAUCAGUUAUAAUUUAUUUGAUAGUACCUUUACCUGGAUAACUGUGGUAAUUCUAGAGCUAAUACAUGCUAAAAACCUCGACUUCGGAAGGGGUGUAUUUAUUAGAUUAAAAACCAAUGCCCUUCGGGGCUCUUUGGUGAUUCAUAAUAACUAAACGAAUCGCAUGGCCUUGCGCCGGCGAUGGUUCAUUCAAAUUUCUGCCCUAUCAACUUUCGAUGGUAGGAUAGUGGCCUACCAUGGUAUCAACGGGUAACGGGGAAUUAGGGUUCUAUUCCGGAGAGGGAGCCUGAGAAACGGCUACCACAUCCAAGGAAGGCAGCAGGCGCGCAAAUUACCCAAUCCCGACACGGGGAGGUAGUGACAAUAAAUACUGAUACAGGGUUCUUUUGGAUCUUGUAAUUGGAAUGAGUACAAUGUAAAUACCUUAACGAGGAACAAUUGGAGGGCAAGUCUGGUGAACCAUCAACAGUUCCACUGCUGACGCCAGAGAUAGUAGGGUCUCCCCCCCCCCCCGGGGGUGAGAGAUUACGCUGCUAGUCGAGUAUCCAUUGAUCUAAUGGGGGGAUACCGGCAAGACAACCUGGAUCGGGGAAAGCUAAGGCCCUAUGGGCUAUGCCAAUCCCGAGCAGAGCGCCCCAAGAGCGAUCUUGUGGUUACCUGUGUAGAGCGCGCCAAGGUGUCGGCUGUUCUCAGCGAUGAGACGGCUUAAGGGACGUGCCUGCCCAUUCGAAAGAAUGUCUUUAACUGGAGCACCCAUUAUGCAAAGGUUGGAGAGGGCCGAUCGUGGAUCGGUCCGGGCAUGAAGUCGACCACGACGGGUGUGGUCCGGCUCGUGGUGUACAGGCCAGCAGCCGCGGUAAUUCCAGCUCCAAUAGCGUAUAUUAAAGUUGUUGCAGUUAAAAAGCUCGUAGUUGAACCUUGGGUCUGGCUGAUCUGUCCUCCUAAUCGAGCGCACGGAUUCGGCUGGACCUUUCCUUCUGGGGAGCCCUAUGCCCUUCACUGGGCGUAGCGGGGAACCAGGACUUUUACUUUGAAAAAAUUAGAGUGUUCAAAGCAGGCCUUUGCUCGAAUACAUUAGCAUGGAAUAAUAGAAUAGGACAUCGGUUCUAUUUUGUUGGUUUCUAGGACCGCUGUAAUGAUUAAUAGGGAUAGUCGGGGGCGUCAGUAUUCAAUUGUCAGAGGUGAAAUUCUUGGAUUUAUUGAAGACUAACUACUGCGAAAGCAUUCGCCAAGGAUGUUUUCAUUAAUCAGUGAACGAAAGUUAGGGGAUCGAAGACGAUCAGAUACCGUCGUAGUCUUAACCAUAAACUAUGCCGACUAGGGAUCGGACGGUGUUUCUUUUUAUGACCCGUUCGGCACCUUACGAGAAAUCAAAGUUUUUGGGUUCUGGGGGGAGUAUGGUCGCAAGGCUGAAACUUAAAGAAAUUGACGGAAGGGCACCACAAGGCGUAAACUUUUGUUUUACUUGAGAAGCCGUAGCAACUCUGCGCCUAAAAGCAGCCCGAAAGGGUGAUGUGGUCGCGUCCUUAAAUGCUAGUCUGCUCCCCGGAGAGGGCAGGCAACACGCUCAAACUGCGGGAAACUCCUAAAGCUUCAGGUACCAAGCCGGCCCUCGAAAGAGGCCGGUGGCCAGGUUAAUUGCCUCGGGUACGGUCACAACCCUGGAGAUGCUACAAUGGACAAUCCGCAUCCAAGCCCCUAAGCGUCCUGGACGGGAUACGGGGAAGGUUCAGAGACUAAAUGGGUGUGGGUCGGCGGUCGUUUAGGCGUGCUGCCGGCUUAAGAUAUAGUCCGCCGCUGCGAGAAAUCGCAGCGACCCAGGUGUACCUGACUUAACGGGAGCCUGCGGCUUAAUUUGACUCAACACGGGGAAACUCACCAGGUCCAGACACAAUAAGGAUUGACAGAUUGAGAGCUCUUUCUUGAUUUUGUGGGUGGUGGUGCAUGGCCGUUCUUAGUUGGUGGAGUGAUUUGUCUGCUUAAUUGCGUUAACGAACGAGACCUUGACCUGCUAAAUAGCCAGGUUGACUUUGGUCGACCGCAGGCUUCUUAGAGGGACUUUUGGCUCAAGCCAAUGGAAGUACGAGGCAAUAACAGGUCUGUGAUGCCCUUAGAUGUUCUGGGCCGCACGCGCGCUACACUGACAGAGCCAGCGAGUACAUCACCUUGGCCGAAAGGUCUGGGUAAUCUUGUUAAACUCUGUCGUGCUGGGGAUAGAGCAUUGCAAUUAUUGCUCUUCAACGAGGAAUGCCUAGUAAGCGCAAGUCAUCAGCUUGCGUUGACUACGUCCCUGCCCUUUGUACACACCGCCCGUCGCUACUACCGAUUGAAUGGCUCAGUGAGGCUUUGGGACUGGCUCAGGGAGGUCGGCAACGACCACCCAGAGCCGGAAACUUAGUCAAACUUGGUCAUUUAGA